rnacentral:tRNA from 1 species
GCCGGCGUAGCUCAGUGGCAGAGCGAGGCUUUCAUAAGGCCGAGGUCAGAGGUUCGAAUCCUCUCGCCGGCA